CCUACGGGGGGCUGCAGUGAGGAAUAUUGGUCAAUGGGCGUAAGCCUGAACCAGCCAUCCCGCGUGAAGGAAGACGGCGCUAUGCGUUGUAAACUUCUUUUCCGGAGGAAUAAAAUUUCGUACGUGUACGGAACUGAAGGUACUCCGGGAAUAAGCAUCGGCUAACUCCGUGCCAGCAGCCGCGUUAAUACGGAGGAUGCGGGCGUUAUCCGGAUUUAUGGGUUUUAAGGGGUAUGUAUGAGGCAGUGGUGAAAACCUUCAGCUUAACUGGAGACUUGCCAUUGAUACUGUUAGUCUUGAGUACGGUCAAGGUAGGCGGAAUGUGUAAUGUAGCGGUGAAAUGCUUAGAUAUUACACAGAACACCGAUUGCGAAGGCAGCUUACUGGGCCAUUACUGACGCUGAUGCACGAAAGCGUGGGGAGCGAACAGGAUUAGAUACCCCGGUAGUC
rnacentral:rRNA from 1 species